rnacentral:rRNA from 1 species
UACGGAGGGGGCAAGCGUUGCUCGGAAUUAUUGGGCGUAAAGGGUAGUUAGGUGGUCUCAUUUGUCUGGGGUGAAAGCCUUGAGCUUAACUCAAGAAGUGCCCCAGAAACGGUGAGACUGGAGUCCUGGAGAGGGUCGUGGAAUUCCCGGUGUAGCGGUGAAAUGCGUAGAGAUCGGGAGGAACACCAGAGGCGAAAGCGGCGACCUGGACAGGCAGUGACACUCAACUACGAAAGCGUGGGGAGCAAACAGG